rnacentral:rRNA from 1 species
UACAGAGGUGGCAAGCGUUGUUCGGAAUUACUGGGCGUAAAGGGCGCGUAGGCGGUCCCAUAAGUCCUGUGUGAAAUCCCCCGGCUCAACUGGGGAAUUGCACGGGAAACUGCGGGGCUUGAGUUCGGGAGAGGGAAGCGGAAUUCCGGGUGUAGCGGUGAAAUGCGUAGAUAUCCGGAGGAACACCGGUGGCGAAGGCGGCUUCCUGGACAUGUAUUGACGCUGAGGUGCGAAAGCGUGGGGAGCAAACAGG